UUUAAUUGAAGAGUUUGAUCAUGGCUCAGAUUGAACGCUGGCGGCAGGCUUAACACAUGCAAGUCGAGCGGUAGCAGGGAGAAAGCUUGCUUUCUCCGCUGACGAGCGGCGGACGGGUGAGUAAUGUCUGGGGAUCUGCCUGAUGGAGGGGGAUAACUACUGGAAACGGUAGCUAAUACCGCAUAACGUCGCAAGACCAAAGUGGGGGACCUUCGGGCCUCAUGCCAUCAGAUGAACCCAGAUGGGAUUAGCUAGUAGGUGAGGUAAUGGCUCACCUAGGCGACGAUCCCUAGCUGGUCUGAGAGGAUGACCAGCCACACUGGAACUGAGACACGGUCCAGACUCCUACGGGAGGCAGCAGUGGGGAAUAUUGCACAAUGGGCGCAAGCCUGAUGCAGCCAUGCCGCGUGUAUGAAGAAGGCCUUCGGGUUG
rnacentral:rRNA from 1 species